CCUACGGGUGGCAGCAGUGGGGAAUAUUGGGCAAUGGGCGCAAGCCUGACCCAGCAAUGCCGCGUGAAGGAAGAAGGCUUUCGGGUUGUAAACUUCUUUGACAGGGGAAGAGCAGAAGACGGUACCCUGACAACAAGCCACGGCUAACUACGUGCCAGCCGCCGCUGUAAUACGUAGGUGGCAGGUGUUGUGCGGAUUUACUGGGUGUAAAGGGCGUGUAGCCGGGAAGGGAAGGCAGAUGUGAAAUCUGGAGGCUCAACCUCCAAAUUGCAUUUGAAACUGUUUGUCUUGAGUACUGGAGAGGCAGACGGAAUGCCUUGUGUAGCGGUGAAAUGCGUAGAUAUAAGGCGGAACACCAGUGGCGAAGGCGGUCUGCUGGACAGCAACUGACGGUGAGGCGCGAAAGCGUGGGGAGCAAACAGGAUUAGAUACCCCUGUAGUC
rnacentral:rRNA from 1 species